CGGGGGACUGGGGUUUGGGCCCCUAAAUCCAAGGCAAGCGGGGGCUUGGGAACAGCUCGUUCCUGAGGGAGCUUGCACCAGAGCCCCUUCCAAAAAAUAACCCCCCCCCCCCUGCUGGCCAGCACUCCGCAGGGGGAGAAAGGGAGAUCCAGGAAAAUGUGGCGCUGGGGUCUUCUGGAAAGGGGUCACAGCAUGCACAAGAAAUAAGGAGUAAGCUGGAGGAACAGGAGUCUCUGGAGGAAAGGUGCAGAAAUCAAGUCUAUUUCACACCUUUACCUCCCCGCUGAGAAAUAUGCAGCCUCCGCUCAGGAAGACAGGCGAGGGGACACGAAGUAAGGCUCGCCUAGAUCCCUGGGGCGGUGGAAAGCAAGAGAAUUCUGGGGGCGAUCAGACCCUGGGGUUCCUGCCCACCCCUGUGCAGAGAGAUCUGCCUAAGCAGGCAGAUGGGGGCUCAGAUGACCUAAGACCCCGAGAGAACAUCUGGAAGCCUCCCUGGGGCUGACGCUAGGAAAAGUGGGAACCAGGUACUUUUUUGCAUGACUUGGGGUCUCUGAGCCAGCCAGUGCUUAGAGAGAACUUCUAGCGGGCAUCCCUGGCUGCAAGGAGGGAAAGGGAAGCUCAUUGUGGGGGGAGGGAAAGACCCUGAUCUGCACUGGACCCUGUGUCCCCUGACUCCUCUUGGAAAAUCAAUGUGGGGGAGGUGUCCCUAACUUCCAAGGCGUCUUUUUUUAUUUUUCCUCCUGCCCUCUACCCCAAACACACACACACACACACACACACACACACACACACACACACAGACUCCAGCCGAACACCUCAUUCCAGAACUUAAAUUCUGGAGCGCCGGGACUGGAGUUGUAUAUCCGAGCAGUCUCUCCCGGGGGCCUUGGUCAAACAUCCAGGCCAUCUGUGAUCCUUGUCGCCUUCCUCCUGUCCAGCCGCCCCUCCCCCAUCCCAGCCAACCCAGGUUUCCCUGGAGUGGGCGGAGAGAACGAGUCCCAGGAAGAAGGGAAGGUUGAACAGGACCACGUCCUUCUUCUAAAGCUUUCCUUGCAGGGGUCUGGGGCCGGGGGAGGGGCUCUGGACCUCUCUCUCAGCACACUGCAGCCCAGAUUGCUCCUGGGGGGAAGAAUCUGAAGCGAAAUCAGGCCCCCUGCGGCCGCCGCCAUGGCGCGGGCCGGCGCCCCCCGCUCCCCGGGCCCCGAGCCGCCGCGCCGCCGCGGCCGCCAGCGCUACGUGGAGAAGGACGGCAGGUGCAACGUGCAGCAGGGCAACGUGCGCGAGCCGGGCCGCUACCUGACCGACCUGUUCACCACGCUGGCCGACCUGCAGUGGCGCCUCAGCCUGCUCUUCUUCGUGCUCGCCUACGCGCUCACCUGGCUCUUCUUCGGCGCCAUCUGGUGGCUCGUGGCCUACGGCCGCGGCGACCUGGAGCACCUGGGCGACGCGGCGUGGACGCCGUGCGUCAACAACCUCAACGGCUUCGUGGCCGCCUUCCUGUUCUCCAUCGAGACGGAGACCACCAUCGGCUACGGGCACCGCGUCAUCACCGACCAGUGCCCCGAGGGCAUCGCGCUGCUGCUGCUGCAGGCCAUCCUGGGCUCCAUGGUGAACGCCUUCAUGGUGGGCUGCAUGUUCGUCAAGAUCUCGCAGCCCAACAAGCGCGCCGCCACGCUCGUCUUCUCGUCGCACGCCGUGGUGUCGCUGCGCGACGGGCGCCUGUGCCUCAUGUUCCGCGUGGGCGACCUGCGCUCGUCGCACAUCGUCGAGGCCUCCAUCCGCGCCAAGCUCAUCCGCUCGCGCCAGACGCUGGAGGGCGAGUUCAUCCCGCUGCACCAGACCGACCUGAGCGUGGGCUUCGACACGGGCGACGACCGCCUCUUCCUCGUGUCGCCGCUCGUCAUCAGCCACGAGAUCGACGCCGCCAGCCCCUUCUGGGAGGCGUCGCGCCGCGCCCUGGAGAGGGACGACUUCGAGAUCGUCGUCAUCCUCGAGGGCAUGGUGGAGGCCACCGGAAUGACGUGCCAAGCUCGGAGCUCCUACCUGGUGGACGAGGUGCUGUGGGGCCACCGGUUCACGUCGGUGCUCACGCUGGAGGACGGCUUCUACGAGGUGGACUAUGCCAGCUUCCACCAGACCUUCGAGGUGCCCACACCCUCGUGCAGCGCCCGGGAGCUGGCCGAGGCCGCCGCCCGCCUAGACGCCCACCUUUACUGGUCCGUCCCCAGCCGGCUGGAUGAGAAGGUGGAGGAGGAGGGGGCCGGGGAGGGCGCGGGCGGAGGGGCUGGCGCGGACAAGGAGCAGAACGGCUGCCUGCCGCCCCCGGAGAGCGAGUCCAAGGUGUGACCAGUUUUCCUCCAGACCCCUGUGGCAGGGCCAGACACCGGUACCUGGGAGCUGGAUGGCGCGGGCGGAGGAGGAGGCAGGCAAGGCCCCCCCCCCCCCCCGGGGACGCGCUGAGGCCGGAGAGCCCCCUCAGAAUGGCAAGCCCAGAACCCAGCGGACGGCGCGGGGCCUGGUUUCGGGAGGACGGACGGUGGGGACGGGUAACGUGCCAGCCUGUCUGUGUUCGGCCCUCACGUCUGUUCACGGGUGGAUGGAUGGGCAGAAGGAUGGAUCUCUGCGGGGCUGGAUGGGGAGACGGGAGCAGACGGGCGGACGCCGGCGGGGAGGUAGACGGACGGACAGACGCAGGUGGCGGGCCCGGGGCCGCCGCUCGGCCCUAGGGCAUCUCUGUGCGAAUUCUGGAAAGGCGCCCUUUCCCUGCGGAACCGAUGCCGUCCCGAACCAGAGGGCACGGCUUGGGGAGCGGAGUGCGGGCUGGGUCUUAGUCCCCACUCACCUCCCCGGCCAGCCUCCCCGUGCUGCGGCCCACCUGUCUCGCUGGACACGGUGGCCCAAGCUGACCCCGAGGAGAGAACGCCGGGCGGACGGAGGUGGGCCGGGCCGAGGGUGCCCGCCCCGCCCCGCCCCCACCACUGUGACCGGAGCGGGAGGGCGGAAGGCUGCGGGGGUGGCUCGGCCGGGUGUGAGUGACCUUGCCCCCACGUGCGGGGAGACAGGGCCCGGGGAAGGAGGAGCAGGGACGGCUAUUUUCUGACAGCGGGACGAGAUCUCAUAAAUAGCACUGCAGCGGCAGGAGAGGAAGAGGGACGCUCUGGGGAAGAAGGGCCGGGAGAGAUCUAGAAAGUGAGUUCGCUCGAGCUAGGGUACAGGGGCCCGUGGGGAAGCGGAGUUUGUCCUGGGGCGCGGUGACCCGGGAGCCCCUGGCGGGGUUCACCGGGUGCACGUUGGGUACAGAGCACUGACCCAGCACAGGCGGGGCGGGCGUUCGGAGACCCGGUUCCCGUCCUCGGGACACGGCGUCCCUGAGGCAACCGCACCAGGUGUGGCUCAAACGGAACCCGACCGUCUCUCGGAGCAGAGGGCGGGAGGGUUCGGUGAUCGGAAAGCUGGGGGCUGAGUCAGGCCCACAGAACGACAGAGAGCGAGUAAGCCAGCACUUGUCAAACUGGCGUGUCCAUCAGAGUCGCCUGCAGACCUUGUGGAAACGCAGGCGGCUGGGCCCCGCUCCCGGAGUUUCGGCCUCGAGAGACCAAAAACUUGCAUUUCUAGCAAGUUCCCAGGUCAGGCCGAUGCUGCUGGUAUGGGGGCCACACUUUGAGAACCACUGCUCUACAUAGACUUGGAAGUCACGUCAGGAGGUAGGGCAUUUGAGCCGAGGAGGAGCUGAAGGGUGGUUGAGGGGGAGCUGAAGGGGAAUUGUGGAGAAGCUGAGGGGGAGCCGAGCAGAAACUGAGGAGUAGCUGAGGGGAAGCUGAAGGGAAGCUGAGGAGUAGCUGGGCCGAGGGACAGCUGAGGAGUAGCUGAGGGGUAGCUGAGUAGCUGAGGCGUUACUGAGGGGAAGCUGAGGAGUAGCUGAGCUGAGGAGUAGCUGAGCAAAAGCUGAGAGUAGCUAAGGAAUAGCUGAAGAGAAGCUGAAGGGAAGCUGAGGAGAAGCUGAGGAGUAGCUGAAGAGCAGCUGAGGGGAAGCUAAGGAAUAGCUGAGCAGAAGCUGAGGGGAAGCUGAGGAGUAGCUGAGCUGAGGAGAAGCUCAGGGGAAGCUGAGGAGUAGCUGAGAUGAGGAGGAGUAGCUGAGCUGAGUGGAAGCUGAGUAGCUGAGGGUAGCUAAGGAAUGCUGAGGAGAAGCUGAGGAGCAGCUGAGCUGAGGCGAAGCUGACAGAAGCUGAGGGGAAGCUGAGGUGAGGAGAAGCUGAGGAGUAGCUGAAGAGUAGCUGAGCUGAGAAGCUGAGGAGUAGCUGAGAUGAGGAGUAGCUGAGCUGAGGGGAAGCUAAGUAGCUGAGGGUAGCUAAGGAAUGCUGAGGGGAAGCUGAGGAGUAGCUGAGCUGAGGGGAAGCUGAGCUGAGAGGAAGCUGAAGAGUAGCUGAGAUGAGGAGGAGUAGCUGAGCUGAGGCGAAGCUGAGCGGAACCUGAGGGGAAGCUGAGGAGUAGCUGAGCUGAGGAGGAGUAGCUAAGCUGAGGAGAAGCUGAGGAGGAGCUGAGCUGAGGAGGAGUAGCUAAGCUGAGGAGGAGCUGAGCUGAGGGGAAGCUGAGCUGAGAGGAAGCUGAAGAGUAGCUGAGAUGAGGAGGAGUAGCUGAGCUGAGGCGAAGCUGAGCGGAACCUGAGGGGAAGCUGAGGAGUAGCUGAGCUGAGGAGGAGUAGCUAAGCUGAGGAGAAGCUGAGGAGGAGCUGAGCUGAGGAGGAGUAGCUAAGCUGAGGAGGAGCUGAGCUCAGGGGAAGCUGAGCUGAGAGGAAGCUGAAGAGUAGCUGAGAUGAGGAGGAGUAGCUGAGCUGAGGCGAAGCUGAGCGGAACCUGAGGGGAAGCUGAGGAGUAGCUGAGCUGAGGAGGAGUAGCUAAGCUGAGGAGAAGCUGAGGAGAAGCUGAAGAGUAGCUGAGAUGAGGAGGAGUAGCUGAGCUGAGGCGAAGCUGAGCGGAACCUGAGGGGAAGCUGAGGAGUAGCUGAGCUGAGGAGGAGUAGCUAAGCUGAGGAGAAGCUGAGGAGGAGUAGCUAAGCUGAGGAGGAGCUGAGCUGAGGGGAAGCUGAGCUGAGAGGAAGCUGAAGAGUAGCUGAGAUGAGGAGGAGUAGCUGAGCUGAGGCGAAGCUGAGCGGAACCUGAGGGGAAGCUGAGGAGUAGCUGAGCUGAGGAGGAGUAGCUAAGCUGAGGAGAAGCUGAGGAGGAGUAGCUAAGCUGAGGAGGAGCUGAGCUGAGGGGAAGCUGAGCUGAGAGGAAGCUGAAGAGUAGCUGAGAUGAGGAGGAGUAGCUGAGCUGAGGCGAAGCUGAGCGGAACCUGAGGGGAAGCUGAGGAGUACCUGAGCUGAGGAGGAGUAGCUAAGCUGAGGAGAAGCUGAGGAAAGCUGAGGAGUAGCUGAAGAGUAGCUGAGCUGAGAAGCUGAGGAGUAGCUGAGAUGAGGAGUAGCUGAGCUGAGGGGAAGCUGAGUAGCUGAGGGUAGCUAAGGAAUGCUGAGGGGAAGCUGAGGAAAGCUGAGGAAAGCUGAGGAGAAGCUGAAGAGUAGCUGAGAUGAGGAGGAGUAGCUGAGCUGAGGCGAAGCUGAGCGGAACCUGAGGGGAAGCUGAGGAGUAGCUGAGCUGAGGAGGAGUAGCUAAGCUGAGGAGAAGCUGAGGAGGAGCUGAGCUGAGGAGGAGUAGCUAAGCUGAGGAGGAGCUGAGCUGAGGGGAAGCUGAGCUGAGAGGAAGCUGAAGAGUAGCUGAGAUGAGGAGGAGUAGCUGAGCUGAGGCGAAGCUGAGCGGAACCUGAGGGGAAGCUGAGGAGUAGCUGAGCUGAGGAGGAGUAGCUAAGCUGAGGAGAAACUGAGGAGGAGCUGAGCUGAGGAGGAGUAGCUAAGCUGAGGAGGAGCUGAGCUGAGGGGAAGCUGAGCUGAGAGGAAGCUGAAGAGUAGCUGAGAUGAGGAGGAGUAGCUGAGCUGAGGCGAAGCUAAGCGGAACCUGAGGGGAAGCUGAGGAGUAGCUGAGCUGAGGAGGAGUAGCUAAGCUGAGGAGAAGCUGAGGAGUAGCUGAGCUGAGGAGGAGUAGCUAAGCUGAGGAGAAGCUGAGGAGUAGCUGAGCUGAGGAGGAGUAGCUAAGCUGAGGAGAAGCUGAGGAGGAGCUGAGCUGAGGAGGAGUAGCUAAGCUGAGGAGGAGCUGAGCUGAGGAGCUGAGGGUAGCUAAGGAAUGCUGAGAACCUGAGGGACGCUGAGGAGUAGCUGAGGAAAAACUGAGGAUCGCAGCAGGAGGAGACUGGAUAUAAAGGGUGGGCUACCGUGACUGGGAAAAGGGACCCUGAAAUGCAGGCUGACACGUUUAACCCUGGGCCCGGAAACCCACCUCUCAGUGGAAACGCCGCAGUGAUAAGCUGGAGAUGGCGUUCGGGGAAGACGAAGCCGUCAGGAGUCCUGGGGGCGGUGGGGGGGGGGGGGGGUCGUGCUGGGGGGAAAGGGCAUCAGUGGCCCAAGACUGAAUCCCCUGGAGAACGGACUCAAGAGGCAGGAUUGAACGCGGGUGACCGUUGGAGGGAGAAGCGAGAAGGUCGGACAUCGGAUGUGUCUGUGGCCUGUUGUCCACCCAGCUGGGCCAGCCGCCCCCGGAAACGCUAUGGCCAUCCCACCUCCACCCCCUGCCUGGUGUCAUCCGAGUCGAGUCGCGGGGGGCUCGGCGAGGGGAGAGCAGGGGCAGCUUGGGACAGGGUGGAGGUGGAGGGGACCCGAGGCUGGCCUCCUGGGAGAGGAGUGUUCGUCCAGGCAAGCGUGUGCUCCCACGACACCGGUCCAGCAGUGACCUCCACCCCUUGGUCCUGGCCACACCCUGCUCCUGUCCUUUAAUAAAAGACUGAACCCCUCAGAGGAAAGCA